AUCGGCUGCGCUGUCCGCCAUUUUUGUCUCUCGCUUUGGAAAAUCUACUACCAUCUGGAGUUUUACACUUGAAGAUAAAUGCAGAGUUUAAGCGCAUUACCACCAUGCCACUGCAGUCCAGAUUACUCUCGCAGAUAGAUGUGCUAUCUGACAAACUAAUAAAGGUCUUCAAAAGGCGAGGAGGACAAAUAGGAAGAAGACUUCAGAACAUUCUGGAGCCCACGGCCCAGGAGUAUGUCGAAAAUCACCUGGGAUUUUCACAAUUUACCAUGGGCCACGGAUGAAGCCAUUAUCCAACGAUCUAAUAAGGAAACAACCAUGGGAAUUUACAUCAUAAAGUCAAGAGAUGCCAAUGGCAGCCCUGAGGACAUCGGGAUAGUCCUUGAAGGCCAGAGAGUCUGGCAGGAUUUGGAUAACUAUACCCUAGC
ensembl:lncRNA